rnacentral:lncRNA from 1 species
CUUGGAUGAAGAAUUGAAACCCUAGCUUUGAUUCUGUAGAAGAGGUAUGAUCUCCAGGGGCCAGGGGGGUCUGGUUUUAUAGUCCCUUCAAGUGAAUAUGGGCCGUUGGAUCAAACCGACUUAGAUUGAACGGUUAUCCUUGAUCCUUUAGGUCGGUGGAGAUCUCCCGCAAAGCAGAGUCCUGAUUGGACUCAGGAGGUGGGCGGGCGCCCAGUAGGACAGGGCGGGCGCCCUGUCUCUGGCCCCGUUUCGCCUCCGCUUCGGUCUCGUGGCUUCUGGAGUCUUCUAGAUGUAAGAUAAUUGCGCAGCACGUUAAUAUCUCUAUGUAAACCCGACGUGUGGGCCUUUCCUCCGUAUUUCCUGAUAACCCCCUGCA